AUUGAACGCUGGCGGCAGGCCUAACACAUGCAAGUCGAGCGGAUGAAGGGAGCUUGCUGCUGGAUUCAGCGGCGGACGGGUGAGUAAUGCCUAGGAAUCUGCCUGCUAGUGGGGGAUAACGACCGGAAACGGGCGCUAAUACCGCAUACGUCCUGCCGCAGAAAGAGGGGGAUCUUCAGACCCUACGCUCUCAGCUGAUCCUAGGUCGGAUUAGCUAGUUGGUGGGGUAAAGGCCUACCAAGGCGACUAACCGUAACUAGUCUGAAAGGAUGAUCAGUCACACUGGCACUUGGACACGGUCCAGACUCCUACGGGAGGAACCAGUGGGCAAUAUUGGACUAUGGGCGAAAGCCUGAUACAGACGUGCCGCGUGUUUGAAAGAGUUCUUCGGAUGGUAAAGCGCACUAACUUGGGAGGAGAGGGAGGAAGUUAAUACAGUGCUGAAUUGACGUUACUAACAGAAUAGAAGACGGCUAAGUUCGUG
rnacentral:rRNA from 1 species